rnacentral:rRNA from 1 species
AUUGAACGCUGGCGGCAGGCCUAACACAUGCAAGUCGAGCGAGCGGCGGACGGGUGAGUAAUGUAUGGGGACUGCCCGAUAGAGGGGGAUAACUACUGGAAACGGUGGCUAAUACCGCAUACUAUCGGAUAACCCAUAUGGGAUUAGCUAGUAGGUGAGGUAAAGGCUCACCUAGGCGACGAUCUCUAGCUGGUCUGAGAGGAUGAUCAGUCACACUGGGACUGAGACACGGCCCAGACUCCUACGGAGGAAGCAGUGGGGAAUAUUGCGCAAUGGGCGCAAGCCUGAUGCAGCCAUGCCGAGUGAAUGAAGAAGGCCUUAGGGUUGUAAAGUACUUUCAGCGGCGAGGCGUUAACCACAGAAGAAGCACCGGCUAACUCCGUGCCAGCAGCCGCGGUAAUAC